ensembl:lncRNA
GGAGGAAGGAAAAAGAAAAAAGAAAAAUGUACCACUCAGAGAACUCCUGCUGUGCCAUGGGAACUAUAACUCCUAGACAGCCCCAGACACUGUGCUCCACAUCCACCAUGCCAUCAACUCUGAGGCUUUGCUUCCUUUGGGUUAAUCUCAGUCAAUGAUUGAGAACAAGAGGGCUGCUAAGAAAGGACCGUUCCUGUAAGAUACAGGAUACGCUGGCUCUAGGACGCCCAUCAGCCUGGCUGAAACUUUCCUAGCAGUGUUCUUCAGGCUAAAACUCUGCCAACCAGCUCCUUCCUUCCCUCUCUCCUUCCCAGUCGGACCUGCGCUGUGGUCUGAUGGCUCCCUUUGCCUCCUGGGAUUCCUCCUCUGUUCCUCCUGCAGACCUUUUCCCAGCAGAUCUUUCCCAAGGCUGAUCCCAUCAGGGCCUCUGCUUCUUGCAGGACCAGGAGUCAUGCCCUGUGACCUUGAGACUGCACUCAGGCAGCGUGCAGUGCAGCAGGGAGUCUUCUCCAGCCCCAUCAACCGGAUGAAAGCUUUCCUACAUGGCCCACAUUGUCCUCUGCUUCCCCUCCUGGUUUGCCUCUUUCUCAUCAGAGUUCUGCAGCUCCCAGAGUCUGUUCCAUACCCUCAGUCCAUAUCGGUGGAGAGCCUGCAUGGCCAUGACCUGGAAGGGAGUGGAAGGCAGCGAGCUCUGAUCCAAGGCACUCCCCAUCUUCCCUGGAUGGGCCUCUCACUUGUACACUGAGGCAUUCACAGGCAGGGAAACCCCUGCAGACUAAGAAGGAGGCUGGGCUCAAGAACUAGUGGGUCCAGAUUUUGGCAGAGGCAGGGAAGCUUCCAGGAAAGGGGCUCCUCGUUAACAGCUGUGUGGGAGAGGGAAUGUGUGUGGUAUGCUUAUAUUCCAUUUGUCUAAAUAUUGUUUGCAUGAGGUCAGAGACCUUAGGCUUUGUUCUGACUUUCUAUGAAUGCAUAAAAAACCACCCCCAAAUUUAAGUCACUUCAAGCAAUUUAUUAGUAUCUCUAAUAGUUCUUGAGCUGGCUGGGCUCAUGUGGGUGGUUCUUGCUUGGACAUCUAGCAGAUGGUGGCCGGGGCUACAAUCAUCUGAAGGCUCGACUGGCCUGGAUGUGCCAGACAGCUCACUCUCUUGGGUUGCAUUUAUUGUUGGUUCUUUGCUUAGAGCUCAGCUGAGGCUGCUUCUGGAACAUCUACAUGUAGCCUGUCCAUGUGCCUUGGACUUUUUCUUUUUUGUGGUCACACCCGUGGUAUACGGAAGUUCCCAGGUCAAGGAUAGAAUCUGAGCCACACCUCUAACCUAUGCCACAGCUGCAGCAAUGCUGGGUCCUUAACCGACUGUGCCGCAGCAGGAACUCCAGCUUGGACUUCUUAAAGCAUGGCAGUGGGCUCCAAAGAGGAAGCAUCUGAAGAGACAACUGCAAAGCUUUUUAUGAUAUAGCCACAGAAACUCCAGACUUCAGUUAGUUAAAACAAACUCCAGACUUCAGUUAGUUAAAACACAAAGGCCAGCCCAGAUUCAAGGCAAGGAUUAGGUGACUCCUCUUGAUGCAAAGAGUAACAGCAAAGGUUGCCUUCUCUACCACUCCCUACUCUUUGAUGAAUUGAUGCUAUCUCCCAAACCCAAUACCCCAAAUGAGAGCCUAGCAUAGUUCUGUGCCAAGUAGGUGAGAAACAGUAUGGAGUAGUGGUUAAGACCCUAGAUGCUUAGAGGCAAGGAGACAUGGGUUUGAAUCAGGGCUUUUCCACUUAACCAGAUGUGGCUCUCGGACAAAUCGUUUAAUCUGAGCCUCAGUCGGCUCAUUUAUAAAAGAAUGAUAAUGUAUAUACCUCCAUGUAUGGUUGUGGGCUAUAAAUGCUGCCCAGCAUAGAGCAAGAAUUCAAUAAUUGUUCACAUUAGAAAUAAAGGUAAAAAAAGUCAUGCUUUGGAGUUCCCACUGUGGCUCAGCAAGAUCGGCAGCAUCUUGGGAGUGCUGGGCC